AAAUUGAAGAGUUUGAUCAUGGCUCAGAUUGAACGCUGGCGGCAGGCCUAACACAUGCAAGUCGAGCGGAAACGAGUUAUCUGAACC
rnacentral:rRNA from 3 species